rnacentral:rRNA from 1 species
UACAGGAGGGGGCAAGCGUUGUUCGGAAUUACUGGGCGUAAAGGGCGCGUAGGCGGCCUGUUAAGUCAGACGUGGAAUCCCCGGGCUCAACCUGGGAACUGCGUGUGAUACUGGAUGGCUUGAAUUCGGGAGAGGGAUGCAGAAUUCCAGGUGUAGCGGUGAAAUGCGUAGAUAUCUGGAGGAAUACCGGUGGCGAAGGCGACAUCCUGGACCGUAUUGUACGCUGAGGCGCGAAAGCCAGGGGAGCAAACGGG